rfam:Oryza rufipogon genomic scaffold, chr01
AAAAAGACAAACCCUGGUUUCAGUGUACAAUGUAUGACCGUCCGUCUUAUUUGAAAAAAAUAUAAAAAAAAUUAAAAAGAUAAGUCACGCAUAAAGUAUUAAUUAUGUUUUAUCAUCUAACAACAAUGAAAAUACUAAUUAUAAAAAAAUUUCAUAUAAGACGGACAGUUUUUCAUAUAACGGACAGUUAAACGUUGGCACGGAAACCCAGGGUUUGACUUUUU